AGCGGAAGAAGCCAGCAGCUAUGCUCUGACUAUUACGACCAAGACGGAGAGACUCGAAGGUUGAGUGACUGACGAUGGGGAUGCCAGUUUGAGGAAUAGAAGAGGCAGAUAGAGACAUUUUUUAGAAGAUGGUUAAAGCUAAGAGGAAUCAUAAAUUUUUGUGGAGAUGAAGAUUGGGUUCAUCAAAGAUGAGAAUCAUAUAUAUAUGGUUUUACCGAGAAGCUACAAAUCAUGAACAUUUAUGCUCAAGCGAUUUAAGAUGGGGAGAUAAAAAUUUCACCGGUGAAGAAAUAGAUUACAAACAGACAUACAUCGCAACUCUGUAACUCAGACAUGUCUGAGACAAUGAUGAAAAGAACACUAACUCAUGUUCAAUGACGACGGUUUACAGUAUGGGAAACUAUAAUUGUUGCAAACUUGAGCUUUUUCUUCAUAUACCGUCAUGGAUUCCAUUUUAAAAUGAAACCCAUAGUAUAUUUGCAGGUCCGACCCUCAGAGAAAGGCGAAGAAAAGCAAGGGCUUCCGACCUUCAUAAAUAUAUAUUAGUUUCGACCAUCAGUGAACGAAUUAUCAUGUAGUUUAGUAGUAUAAAUAUUGAUGUUUGUAUUUCAAUAACCCGUGUUUAAACCAUGAAUUUUAUAUUUUUUACAGUUUUUUAAAGUGGGAUCCACCUGAUGUUGACGUGUCGCUUUUAGAAAAUAGUAAAUCAUAUGAUAUUUACCAACCAAAUAUUUGAUUGAUACUUUAACAUCACUAUACAUUUAUAAACGGGCCACAAAGAUUUUUUGCUUAAUGCUUACAAAACAAAAAUAUAGAGAUUAUAUUAAACAAAAUUAAAUUGAAAACUAUCGCUUUAAUCUCGUAUGCUUUCCGAAUCUGACAUCAUUGGUCUUGGCUUUGUUGAACGGACUAUGUUAUGCCCAAGAGAGUGAUCACUCUUUACUUCAGGAAGAAAAAAAGAGUGAUCGGGAAGAGAAACGAGGAAGAAGAACAGAGCAAAAAUGCAGGAGAAGUCAGCAUAGAGAGAGAGUGGUUGUCUAAUCAUAAGUAAUAAGAUAAUAUUUGUUUGUAUAAUUAUGUUGGUUAUUUAAAUGAGUUUAUAACACAAAAAGACACUUUAUGUGUUUUUAUUACACAAAAGAGCAGAUUGUGCUACUCAGACACUUUAUGUUGGUUGAAGACUUUUUUGUCCUCUCAAAAACAAAACUAGAGAUGGGCACUUAAGUAAAAGACCAUAUUGUUCUGGUUAGUUUGGUUAGUGGGUUUGAAUUUUGAAAAUACCAGGCUCUGAUUGGUGGACGCUUGAAGAAGUGUGAUUUGUUUAAUAAAAUGACUUUGUGCCCGUAAAAAAAGUAAUAUUUACUCCCUUUUCUGUUUCUCACUCCUAAACCUAAUUUUUCCAUUUUUUCAUUCUUCCAGAGCGAGAACAGAAGCGAGAACACGACGGAGAUAGUGACUGCCGACGGAAGUUAAAGCGGUGGAUCUAGGAUAAAUUGACAAUGACGACGAGGAGGAAGCGAGCAGGGAAAGCGAAAGCCGACGCUUGGUGGAUCCAAGAGAGAUUCUGAGCAUAUAGCAUAUUUGAAGUCGUCCAAGUAUUUGGAUCUCGUGGAGCAUGUUGUGUGUGGAGACUAUAGAAUGGAGCAUGGUGGCUGUGGAGACUAAAUCCAUGUGUACACUAUUGUAAUGAUAUCUAUGUGUACACCAUUGAAAUAAUAUCCAUGUGUACACCGAUGUAAUGAUAUUUACAUGUACAUAAAAAUGUAAACCUUCCAACA